rnacentral:rRNA from 1 species
UACGUAGGGUCCGAGCGUUGUCCGGAAUUAUUGGGCGUAAAGGGCUCGUAGGCGGUCCGUCACGUCGGGAGUGAAAACUCGGAGCUUAACUCCGAGCCUGCUUCCGAUACGGGCAGACUAGAGGUAUGCAGGGGAGAACGGAAUUCCUGGUGUAGCGGUGAAAUGCGCAGAUAUCAGGAGGAACACCGGUGGCGAAGGCGGUUCUCUGGGCAUUACCUGACGCUGAGGAGCGAAAGUGUGGGGAGCGAACAGG